GUGCCAGCAGCCGCGGUAAUACGUAGGGUGCGAGCGUUGUCCGGAAUUAUUGGGCGUAAAGAGCUCGUAGGUGGUUUGUCACGUCGUCUGUGAAAUUCCGGGGCUUAACUCCGGGCGUGCAGGCGAUACGGGCAUAACUUGAGUACUGUAGGGGAGACUGGAAUUCCUGGUGUAGCGGUGAAAUGCGCAGAUAUCAGGAGGAACACCGAUGGCGAAGGCAGGUCUCUGGGCAGUUACUGACGCUGAGGAGCGAAAGCAUGGGUAGCGAACAGGAUUAGAUACCCUGGUAGUCCAUGCCGUAAACGGUGGGCGCUAGGUGUGGGGGUCUUCCACGACUUCCGUGCCGUAGCUAACGCAUUAAGCGCCCCGCCUGGGGAGUACGGCCGCAAGGCUAAAACUCAAAGGAAUUGACGGGGGCCCGCACAAGCGGCGGAGCAUGUGGAUUAAUUCGAUGCAACGCGAAGAACCUUACCUGGGCUUGACAUAUGCAGGAUCGGCACAGAGAUGUGUUUUCCCUUGUGGUCUGUAUACAGGUGGUGCAUGGUUGUCGUCAGCUCGUGUCGUGAGAUGUUGGGUUAAGUCCCGCAACGAGCGCAACCCUUGUCUUGUGUUGCCAGCACGUUAUGGUGGGGACUCGCGAGAGACUGCCGGGGUUAACUCGGAGGAAGGUGGGGAUGACGUCAAAUCAUCAUGCCCCUUAUGUCCAGGGCUUCACACAUGCUACAAUGGUCGGUACAGUGGGUUGCGAUACCGUGAGGUGGAGCUAAUCCCUUAAAGCCGGUCUCAGUUCGGAUUGGAGUCUGCAACUCGACUCCAUGAAGUCGGAGUCGCUAGUAAUCGCAGAUCAGCAACGCUGCGGUGAAUACGUUCCCGGGCCUUGUACACACCGCCCGU
rnacentral:rRNA from 1 species